GAGUUUGAUCCUGGCUCAGGAUGAACGCUGGCGGCGUGCUUAACACAUGCAAGUCGAACGGUAACAGGAAGUAGCUUGCUACUUUGCUGACGAGUGGCGCACGGGUGAGUAAUAUAUAGUUAAUGUGCCCCAAAGACCGGGAUAGCCACUGGAAACGGUGAUUAAUACUGGAUACACCUUCAUAUCACAAGGUAUGAAGGGAAAUGUUUUUUCGCUUUGGGAUCAGACUAUAUCCUAUCAGUUAGUUGGUGAGGUAAGAGCUCACCAAGGCGAUGACGGGUAGCGGGUUUGAGAGGAUGAUCCGCCACACUGGUACUGAGACACGGACCAGACUCCUACGGGAGGCAGCAGUGAGGAAUAUUGCACAAUGGGGGGAACCCUGAUGCAGCAACGCCGCGUGGAGGAUGACGCAUUUCGGUGUGUAAACUCCUUUUAUAUGUCAAGAAAAUGACGGUAGCAUAUGAAUAAGCACCGGCUAACUCCGUGCCAGCAGCCGCGGUAAUACGGAGGGUGCAAGCGUUACUCGGAAUCACUGGGCGUAAAGGACGCGUAGGCUGGUUGAAAAGUCAGGUGUGAAAGCCUACAGCUUAACUGUAGAACUGCACUUGAAACUCUCAAUCUAGAGUAUGGGAGGGGGAGAUGGA
rnacentral:rRNA from 1 species